rnacentral:tRNA from 1 species
UCCCUGGUGGCUCAGAGGUUAAAGCGUCUGCCUCCAAUGCAGGAGACCCGGAUUCGAUCCCUGGGUCGGGAA